CCUACGGGAGGCAGCAGUGAGGAAUAUUGGUCAAUGGUCGGGAGACUGAACCAGCCAAGCCGCGUGAGGGAGGAAGGUACAGAGUAUCGUAAACCUCUUUUGUCAGGGAACAAAGGCGGGGACGUGUCCCCGGAUGAGUGUACCUGAAGAAAAAGCAUCGGCUAACUCCGUGCCAGCAGCCGGGGUAAUACGGAGGAUGCGAGCUUUAUCCGGAUUGAUUGGGUUAAAAGGGUGCGCAGGCGGUCUGUUAAGUCAGCGGUCAAAGCCCGGGGCUCAACCCCGGCCCGCCGUUGAAACUGGCAGUCUCGAGUUGGAGAGAAGUAUGCGGAAUGCGCGGUGUAGCGGUGAAAUGCAUAGAUAUCGCGCAGAACUCCGAUUGCGAAGGCAGCAUGCCGGCUCCACACUGACGCUGAGGCACGAAAGCGUGGGUAUCGAACAGGAUUAGAUACCCGUGUAGUC
rnacentral:rRNA from 1 species